UACGAGGGGGCGAGCGUUGUUCGGAAUUAUUGGGCGUAAAGAGCUCGUAGGCGGUUUGUCGCGUCUGCUGUGAAAACUGGAGGCUCAACCUCCAGCCUGCAGUGGGUACGGGCAGACUAGAGUGCGGUAGGGGAGAUUGGAAUUCCUGGUGUAGCGGUGGAAUGCGCAGAUAUCGGGAGGAACACCGGUGGCGAAGGCGGUCUCUGGGCCUGUUCUGACGCUGGAGGAGCGAAAGCGUGGGGAGCGAACAGG
rnacentral:rRNA from 1 species